rnacentral:sRNA from 1 species
GCUGGACAUGCCAGUGCAUGCCUGUAAUCCCAGCAACUUGGGAGGCUGAGAGAGGAGUAUUGCAAGUUGAAGGCCAGCCUCAGCAACUUAGUGAGAUUCUCAGAGUUAGCGAGACCCUGUCUCCA